rnacentral:pre_miRNA from 1 species
AAAACAAGGCGCGAACUAUGAAGAGAGCUAUCCAUCGACAGUAUGGUAAAAAAAGACACUGUCAUGGAGUUGCUCUCUUUGUGGACGCCGUCCUAUACAACGACGACUAACU